ACUUUUCGUUGUAGCAAUACGAUGGAAAGUUUAGUGGCGAACGGGUGCUUAACACGUGGGCAACCUGCCAGGAAGUGGGGGAUAGCUCGCCGAAAGGCGAAUUAAUACCGCAUGUGAUUAGAGGGGACAUCCUUUCGAAAUUAAAGUCGGGGCAACCUGACGCUUCUUGUGGGGCCCGCGGCCUAUCAGCUAGUUGGUGAGGUAACGGCCCACCAAGGCUUUGACGGGUAGCUGGUCUGAGAGGACGACCAGCCACACUGGGACUGAGACACGGCCCAGACACCUACGGGUGGCAGCAGUCGAGAAUUUUUGACAAUGGGGGAAACCCUGAUCGAGCGACGCCGCGUGGGGGAUGAAGGUCUUCGGAUUGUAAACUCCUGUCAUUGGGGAACAAUGCACAGAUAUUAACUGUAUUUGUGUUGAUAGUACCCGAAGAGGAAGGGACGGCUAACUCUGUGCCAGCAGCCGCGGUAAUACAGAGGUCUCAAGCGUUGUUCGGAUUCAUUGGGCGUAAAGGGUGCGUAGGCGGCGCGGUAAGUCGGGUGUGAAAUCUCGGGGCUUAACUCCGAAACUGCAUUCGAUACUGCCGUGCUUGAGGACUGGAGAGGAGACUGGAAUUUACGGUGUAGCGGUGAAAUGCGUAGAUAUCGUAAGGAAGACCAGUGGCGAAGGCGGGUCUCUGGACAGUUCCUGACGCUGAGGCACGAAGGUCAGGGGAGCAAACGGGAUUAGAUACCCCGGUAGUCCUGACAGUAAACGGUGCACGUUUGGUGUGGGAGGAUUCGACCCCUUCUGCGCCGGAGCUAACGCGUU
rnacentral:rRNA from 1 species